CAAAGUAAAAACAAAAUCCAGUAUAACCAAAAUUUUGUAAACUAUGGUCAAGUCAGUUAUAUGCAUCACUGGAGGAUCCUUGGAAGAAUGGAUCCCUUUCCUUCCAUAAAUGGCAUCAAGAAGAGCAUCAUAAAAGUUAUAUCUCUCUUCAAAGUCACAAUGUCUAAUGACAGUGCCAAAGCCACGACGAAGACUGAUCCAAAAUCCAUUACUCUAUCACCAACUCCGAAUGGAGCUCCAUUUGGAUCAACAAGACCAAACUUUCUAGAAUAUUCCAUUUGUACAUUUUUGAAUAUGGAGCUCCAUUUUCAUCAAUAG